rnacentral:snRNA from 1 species
GCGCUUGCUUCGGCAGCACAUAUACUAAAAUUGGAACAAUACAGAGAAGAUCAGCAUGGCCCCUGUGCAAGGAUGGCAAGCGAAUUCGUGAAGCGUUUCUUAUUUUU